GAUCCUGGCUCAGAACGAACGCUGGCGGCGUGCCUAACACAUGCAAGUCGAACGUGAAAGUCCUUCGGGAUGAGUAAAGUGGCGCACGGAUGAGUAACACGUAGGUGACCUGCCUUUUAGAGGGGAAUAACCAGAAGAAAUUUUGGCUAAUGCCGCAUACGAAGCACGGUUUUAAGACUGUGUUUGAAAGAAUGCCUCUGCAUAUGCAUUCACUAAAAGAUGGGCCUGCGGAACAUUAGCUAGUUGGUGGGGUAAAGGCCUACCAAGGCAACGAUGUUUAUCCGGUCUGAGAGGAUGAUCGGACACACUGGAACUGAGACACGGUCCAGACUCCUACGGGAGGCAGCAGUGGGGAAUAUUGCGCAAUGGGGGAAACCCUGACGCAGCAACGCCGCGUGAGUGAGGAAGGACUUCGGUCUGUAAAGCUCUGUUAAUGUGGAAAAAUGGUAGUUGGUCUAAUAGGCCGAUUAUUUGAUGGUACACAUAGAGGAAGCACCGGCUAACUUCGUGCCAGCAGCCGCGGUAAUACGAAGGGUGCAAGCGUUGUUCGGAUUUAUUGGGCGUAAAGCGCGCGUAGGCGGACCUGCAAGUCAGAUGUGAAAUCUCGGGGCUCAACCCCGAAACUGCGUCUGAAACUACAGGUCUAGAAUCUUGGAGGGGGAAGGGGAAUAUCGCAUGUAGGGGUAAAAUCCGUAGAUAUGCGAUGGAACACCAGAGGCGAAGGCGCCUUCCUGGACAAGUAUUGACGCUGAGGCGCGAAAGCGUGGGGAUCAAACAGGAUUAGAUACCCUGGUAGUCCACGCUG
rnacentral:rRNA from 1 species